rfam:Triticum aestivum genome assembly, contig: Triticum_aestivum_CS42_TGACv1_scaffold_210444_3AS
AUAAUACUCUCUCCGUCCAAAAAUACUUGUCGGAGAAAUGAGUGUACCUAGACGCAUUUUAGUUCUAGAUACACCCAUUUUUAUCCAUUUCUCCGACAAGUAUUUCCAGACGGAGGGAGUAUAUA